rnacentral:misc_RNA from 1 species
UCCGUUUUAACAACGGCAGUCUCCCUAGAGUCCCCACCCGAAGUGUUGGCAACUAAGGACAAGGGUUUCGCUCGUUCAGGGACUUAACCCGACAUCUCACGACACGAGCUGACGACAGCCAUGCAACACCUAUGCACGUUCCACCACAAGGGCGUCACUCCCCUUUCAGGGAGCUAAUCCGCGCACUUCGAACCCGGGUAAGGUUCUUCGCGUUGCUUCGAAUUAAGCAACAUGCUCCACCGCUUGUGUGAGCCCCCGUCAAUUCCUUUGAGUUUUAGCCUUGCGACCGUAAUCCCCAGGCGGGGCACUUAACGCAUUUGCUACGGAAACGAAUGCCAUCGAAACACCCGCAACCUAGUGCCCAUCGUUUACAGCUAGGACUAC